rnacentral:rRNA from 1 species
CAAUAGCAUAUAUUAACGUUGUUGCAGUUGAAAAGCUCGUAGUUGAACUUUUGGUAGGAGCGACCUGGCCUUGGGCGCAUGCCCUUGAUUGCCGCGUGUCGUAUCUGGCCAUCCUUUUCUUCUUUUUGGAAGGAAUCUUUUACUGUGAGUAAACUGGAGUGCUCAAAACAAGACGUUUGUUUGGUACAUUAAAGCAUGGAAUAAUAAGAUAGGACCUGGUUACUAUUUUGUUGGUUUGCAUAGCUAGGUAAUGAUUAACAGGGACAGUUGGGGGUAUUCGUAUUUAAUUGUCAGAGGUGAAAUUCUUGGAUUUAUGAAAGACGAACGACUGCGAAAGCAUUUACCAAGGAUGUUUUCAUUAA